UGCAGUCGAGCGAAUGACGAGAAGCUUGCUUCUCUGAUUUAGCGGCGGACGGGUGAGUAACACGUGGGCAACCUGCCCUACAGAUCGGGAUAACUCAGGGAAACCUGGGCUAAUACCGGAUAAUCCUUCGAAUCACAUGGUUUGAAGUUGAAAGGCGCUUCGGCGUCACUGUAGGAUGGGCCCGCGGUGCAUUAGCUAGUUGGUGGGGUAACGGCCUACCAAGGCAACGAUGCAUAGCCGACCUGAGAGGGUGAUCGGCCACAUUGGGACUGAGACACGGCCCAAACUCCUACGGGAGGCAGCAGUAGGGAAUCUUCCACAAUGGACGAAAGUCUGAUGGAGCAACGCCGCGUGAGUGAUGAAGGUUUUCGGAUCGUAAAACUCUGUUGUAAGGGAAGAACAAGUACGUUAGGAAAUGAACGUACCUUGACGGUACCUUAUUAGAAAGCCACGGCUAACUACGUGCCAGCAGCCGCGGUAAUACGUAGGUGGCAAGCGUUGUCCGGAUUUAUUGGGCGUAAAGCGCGCGCAGGUGGUUUCUUAAGUCUGAUGUGAAAGCCCACGGCUCAACCGUGGAGGGUCAUUGGAAACUGGGGAACUUGAGUGCAGAAGAGGAUAGUGGAAUUCCAAGUGUAGCGGUGAAAUGCGUAGAGAUUUGGAGGAACACCAGUGGCGAAGGCGACUGUCUGGUCUGUAACUGACACUGAGGCGCGAAAGCGUGGGGAGCAAACAGGAUUAGAUACCCUGGUAGUCCACGCCGUAAACGAUGAGUGCUAAGUGUUAGGGGGUUUCCGCCCCUUAGUGCUGCAGCUAACGCAUUAAGCACUCCGCCUGGGGAGUACGACCGCAGGGUUGAAACUCAAAGGAAUUGACGGGGGCCCGCACAAGCGGUGGAGCAUGUGGGUUUAAUUCGAAGCAACGCGAAGAAACCUUACCAGGGCUUGACAUCCCCAUGACCGUCCUAGAGAUAGGAUUUUCCCUUCGGGGACAUUGGUGACAGGGGGUGGAUGGGUUGUCGUCACCUCCUGUCCUGGGAAUAUUUGGGUUAAAUCCCCGCACCAAGCGCCACCCCUUAUUCUUAAGUUGCCAUCAAUUUAAUUUGGGGCCUCUUAAG
rnacentral:rRNA from 1 species